rnacentral:rRNA from 1 species
GCCGCGUCGUGGGGGAUAACGCUGGGAAACCGGCGCUAAUACCGCAUGUGGUCACCUGGAAACGGGUGAAGAAAGCAGCAAUGCGCGACGUGAGGGGCCUGCGGCCGAUUAGCUAGUUGGAGAGGUAAUGGCUCACCAAGGCGACGAUCGGUAGCUGGUCUGAGAGGAUGGUCAGCCACACUGGGACCGAGAUACGGCCCAGACUCCUACGGGAGGCAGCAGUUAGGAAAUUUUCCCAAUGGGCGCAAGCCUGAGGGAGUAACGCCGCGUGGAGGAUGACGGCCUUCGGGUUGUAAACUCCUUUUCUGUGGGAAGAGUAGAAGACGGUACUACAGGAAUAAGCCUCGGCUAACUACGUGCCAGCAGCCGCGGUAAUACGUAGGAGGCGAGCGUUGUCCGGAAUUACUGGGCGUAAAGAGCGCGUAGGCGGCGCGAUACGACAGGUGUGAAAGCCCCCGGCUCAACUGGGGAGGGUCAUCUGUAACGGUCGUGCUCCGAGUGCAGGAGAGGGACGUGGAACUCCGGGAGUAGCGGUGAAAUGCGUAGAGACCCGGAGGAACACCAGUGGCGAAGGCGGCGUCCUGGCCUGCGACUGACGCUGUGGCGCGAAAGCUAGGGGAGCGAACGGGAUUAGAUACCCCGGUAGUCCUAGCCGUAAACGAUGGACACUAGGUGUGCGUGGUAUCGACCCCACGCGUGCCGGCGCUAACGCAGUAAGUGUCCCGCCUGGGGAGUACGGCCGCAAGGCUAAAACUUAAAGGAAUUGACGGAAUCGAAUU